rnacentral:rRNA from 1 species
GACGAACGCUGGCGGCGUGCUUAACACAUGCAAGUCGAACGGGAUAAUUUGAGAGCUUGCUCUUAGAGAAUCUAGUGGCAAACGGGUGAGUAACACGUAGACAACCUGCCGACAGGAUGGGGACAACAUUCCGAAAGGAAUGCUAAUACCGAAUGAAGCGGAGGAGAGGCAUCUCUCCUCCGUGAAAGAUGGCCUCUGAAUAUGCUAUCACCUGUCGAUGGGUCUGCGUCUGAUUAGCUAGUUGGUGAGGUAACGGCUCACCAAGGCGACGAUCAGUAGCCGGUCUGAGAGGAUGAACGGCCACAUUGGGACUGAGACACGGCCCAGACUCCUACGGGAGGCAGCAGUGGGGAAUCUUCCGCAAUGGGCGCAAGCCUGACGGAGCAACGCCGCGUGAGUGAAGAAGGUCUUCGGAUCGCAAAGCUCUGUUGACGGGGACGAACGUGCGAAGGGUGAAUAAUCCUUUGUAAUGACGGUACCUGUCGAGGAAGCCACGGCUAACUACGUG